AAGAUACUCAUCACUGUGGGCAAACUAAUGACACAUGUUAAGGAAUUCAGUCUUAUGGAAAUCAUCUAAAGGUUUAGAAAUUAGCCACUGAUGAUCUCUAUCAAGAAUAAAGACUAUGCUAUCCUCUCAUAUGCCUUCUGAACAGCAAGAAUGAAAAUUCUUUCCAAAAUCAUAGUGGGUUUUUCAAUACCCACACAGAAAAUGACCGUUUCGUAGUCUGGUUAUUUCAACCUUCACAAUGACCAUUUCAGUGAAGUUUUGUGACCUAACUGCCUAGAAAUCAUCUGCAACUCCACUGACCAAAAGAUCUCUAUGGAAAGAAUAAUUCAGUGUCUCUGGAUUACUUGUGGAUGUUUGGGUAGCAAUUUCAUGAUCAACCUAUUGUUUUACCUCCAACACAGCUUAACCCACAUUUCCAAGGAUGAAAAUUAACUUCUUAAGAAAAAACUACUAUACAAUAAGCAAUCAAAAGUCUUGGAAGAAGGCUAGGUGGAAGAUUAAGCUAGUGCUGCUAAGCUGGAGUAGAUCGUCAUAAAUCACACAAAUGAAAAUAAAAGGAAAAUUUUGAAAAUGA
rnacentral:lncRNA from 1 species